UACGUAGGGUGCGAGCGUUAAUCGGAAUUACUGGGCGUAAAGCGUGCGCAGGCGGUUCGUUGUGUCUGAUGUGAAAGCCCCGGGCUCAACCUGGGAAUGGCAUUGGAAACUGGCGAGCUAGAGUGUGGCAGAGGGGGGUGGAAUUCCGCGUGUAGCAGUGAAAUGCGUAGAUAUGCGGAGGAACACCGAUGGCGAAGGCAAUCCCCUGGGCCUGCACUGACGCUCAUGCACGAAAGCGUGGGGAGCAAACAGG
rnacentral:rRNA from 1 species